AUGGAGCGUCCGCGACGUUCGGCGUGCGUGAGCUCGCGACUGCAGCGACAGCGACAGCCGACGGUCCAUCUUGUAUAUACGUUGGGCCUAUUGAGACUGCAAGUAAAGAAACCCUAGAAGCUCUCUAUCGUCAAGNCAGUGGUGAACCUUUGAUAGUUGAUGACAUGUUUGAUAGAGUAGAGUUAAAAUUGCGGCGGUAUGGUUCAAAAUCUGUGGUUAAGUAUCCUCGUUGCAGUAUUAGGCGACAAUCCACCUAUGCAAAUGCAAGAAAGAUGAUCCAUAUGCUAGCUAGUGCAAAAGCCUGAGAUAUAUCUUCCU
rnacentral:misc_RNA from 1 species